AAACUUAAAUGAAUUGACGGGGACCCGCACAAGCAGCGGAGCGUGUGGUUUAAUUCGUUGCUACACGAAGAACUUACCUGGGUUUGACAUAUAGGUUGUAGGGAACUGAAAGGGACCGACCCUUCGGGGAGCCUAUACAGGUGUUGCAUGGCUGUCGUCAGCUCGUGUCGUGAGAUGUUCGGUUAAGUCCGCUAACGAGCGCAACCCUCGUCGUAUGUUAUAUGUGUCAUACGAGACUGCCGGUAAAAGCCGGAGGAAGGUGAGGAUGAUGUCAAGUCAGCAUGACCUUUAUAUCCAGGGCUACACACACGCUACAAUGGUCUGUACAAUGGGUAGCCAAGCCGCGAGGCGGAGCCAAUCCUGAAAGCAGGCCUCAGUUCAGAUUGCAGUCUGCAACUCGACUGCAUGAAGCCGGAGUUGCUAGUAACCGCAGGUCAGCAAUACUGCGGUGAAUACGUUCCCGGGUCUU
rnacentral:rRNA from 1 species